rnacentral:rRNA from 1 species
CCCUUAGAUGUCCGGGGCCGCACGCGCGCUACACUGAAGGAAUCAGCGUGGCUCUGUCCCUGGUCCGAAAGGAUUGGGAAACCCGUUGAAUCUCCUUCGUGAUAGGGAUUGGGGCUUGGAACUGUUCCCCAUGAACGAGGAAUUCCCAGUAAGCGCGAGUCAUAAGCUCGCGUUGAUUACGUCCCUGCCCUUUGUACACACCGCCCGUCGCUACUACCGAUUGAAUGGUCCGGUGAAGCCUCGGGAUUGCGAAUGCUUCGUGCGGACGCGAGAACUUGGCUAAACCUUACCAUUUAGAGGAAGGUGAAGUCGUAACA